rnacentral:rRNA from 1 species
GUCCGAUUAGCUAGUUGGCGGGGUAACGGCCCACCAAGGCGACGAUCGGUAGCUGGUCUGAGAGGACGAUCAGCCACACUGGGACUGAGACACGGCCCAGACUCCUACGGGUGGCAGCAGUGGGGAAUCUUGGACAAUGGGCGCAAGCCUGAUCCAGCCAUGCCGCGUGAGUGAAGAAGGCCUUAGGGUUGUAAAGCUCUUUCGCCCGCGAAGAUAAUGACGGUAGCGGGAGAAGAAGCCCCGGCUAACUCCGUGCCAGCAGCCGCGGUAAUACGGAGGGGGCUAGCGUUGUCCGGAAUUACUGGGCGUAAAGCGCGCGUAGGCGGCCAUUUAAGUCGGGUGUGAAAGCCCGGGGCUCAACCCCGGAUGCGCAUCCGAGACUGGGUGGCUGGAGUCCGGGAGAGGGCGGCGGAAUUCCCAGUGUAGAGGUGAAAUUCGUAGAUAUUGGGAAGAACACCGGUGGCGAAGGCGGCCGCCUGG